AACGAACGCUGGCGGCAUGCCUAACACAUGCAAGUCGUACGAGACCUUCGGGUCUAGUGGCGCACGGGUGCGUAACGCGUGGGAACCUGCCCUUAGGUUCGGAAUAACUCCCCGAGAGGGGUGCUAAUACCGGAUAAUGUCUUCGGACCAAAGAUUUAUCGCCUUUGGAUGGGCCCGCGUUGGAUUAGCUAGUUGGUAGGGUAAAAGCCUACCAAGGCGACGAUCCAUAGCUGGUCUGAGAGGAUGAUCAGCCACACUGGGACUGAGACACGGCCCAGACUCCUACGGGAAGCAGCAGUGGGGAAUAUUGGACAAUGGGCGAAAGCCUGAUCCAGCAAUGCCGCGUGAGUGAUGAAGGCCUUAGGGUUGUAAAGCUCUUUUACCCGGGAUGAUAAUGACAGUACCGGGAGAAUAAGCUCCGGCUAACUCCGUG
rnacentral:rRNA from 1 species